GCCUCCUAUAACAAUGAUUGACAGGGAGCUAAGAUGGAGGCGCCCAGUCCCAGGGUAUUGAUAAGUACAGGGUGAAGAUUCCUACAUUUAUUGUAAAACAUAAUAUUAAAAGACUGGGAGCUGACCGUCCCCAUUUAAUGUGAGCUGUUAGCUGCGUUAGCCAAUGACGGAUUCACAUGGCCGCCGCCUGAAUCUUCGUUUCCCUCCACGUUUACAGGGAUGUUGUGUUUUCCCGAGCGCACGUUGCUUCUUCACGAUGUGCAGGACAUAAAAAGUGCUGCACUGCGUUGAUUAAUGAAUACAUUUCCCUUCGGCAACCUUAGAAUAAGUCAUUCUAUCGGGCAGCACUUUUCAUGCUCUGCC